ACAAAAGAUAAGCACUCCCGUGUAAAUAAAAGAGACACGGCGAUAGUUACUCGCCCAGCGGUGAGCUAUAAAUAUCGCCGUGUCUAUUUUAUUUACACGGGAGUGCUUAUCUUUUGUUCGUGUUUAUAGCCGAUAGCUCAUAGCUUACUAGCUCGCGGUGGGACCAGUGCCUAAUGUAUUAAAAAUGUAUGUUAAUAAUUGUAAAUAAAAGGACAAGUAUGUACAGAACGUAGCAGAAGUAGUGUUGGACUAACACAACUCUGCAACGAUUUUGAUACAUUAGAUGUAUUUAUUUCUUAAACAGUGGCCGAUUUGCCCUAAGGCCCAAAAGGCCCGGGCGGCAAGAUAUUUAAGGGCGGCAAAUUGUGACAAAAAAUUCGCUGAUGGUAACAAGAAAUAACUCAAAAUGUAGUCAAUAUGAUGGGUGCUAAGGGGCGGCUACAGGGCCUGGGGUCUAGGGCGGCAAAAACUGCAAAUCCGCCACUGUUCUUAAAAAAAGACAGUAUUUUACACAAAAGCAUAAAACAAAGGCUUUCACAAAAAUAUCGUCAACUUAACAUUAAAAACAGAAAAGAAAAAAUAUAAAAGAAUUUAAAAUAAAUAAAUAAAAUAGCGCUCACGGUGCAUGUUAUUUAUAGGUCACCAUUUCAUAGAGAAUUGACGUUUAAAAUAACACUUGCACUGCGUUGUGCUAUCAAAAUCGUUGCAGACUUGUCUAGGCCCAACUCUAGCUAAGCGAGUGGUGUUCAAAAUGACCUGUGCACGCUCUUAUUCUCUUAGCGAUAAAGCUGAGUUCAGGUCAUUGAGAAAAACUUGUAGGUGUGAAAUCAAAUACAGAUGUAGGUGCAUAAUUGUUUUCCAUCGUAUUUUCACGGAAACGUACGAACGGUUGACGUAAAAGGACAAGUAUGUACAGAAGGUAGCAGAAGUAGAUUUGGACCAAGACAAGUCUGCAGCGAUUUUGAUAAAUCGCUGGCCCAAUAUUACAGCAGGCUUCUUUGUAUGUUACAUUUUCAAGAUAGUUGAAAUUCGACUUAGGCGCACUUGCACCAUUCCACUAACCCGGGGUUAACCGAUUAAACCUGGAGUUGCCAUGGUUACCAGUACAAUUUGACACUAGGUUAACGGUUUAACCGCUUAACCCCGGGUUAGUGGGAUGGUGCAAGUGAGCCUUAAUGUCACUAUGACAAUGUUCAGUUCGAUAAAAGUGAAACAUAGAACCUUACAGGCUAUUGGGCCAGCGAAAUGAUAGCGCUCGUAGUGCAAGUGUUAUUUAUACGUCACAAUUUCGUAGAAGUUUGACGUUUACAAUAACACUUGCACUGCGUUGUGCUAUCAAAAUCGUUGCAGACUUGUCUAGGCCCAACUCUAGCUAAGCGAGUGGUGUUCAAAAUGACCUGUGCACGCUCUUAUUCUCUUAGCGAUAAAGCUGAGUUCAGGUCAUUGAGAAAAACUUGUAGGUGUGAAAUCAAAUGUGACUUGUAGUGCAUAAUGGUUUUCCUUCGUAUUUUCACGGAAACGUACGAACGUGUCUUGCUAUUUCAGCCAGUCCCGGUACCAAAAGUACUGGGGGCCAAUUUUUGAAUUUCGACCGCUCGAUUUCGUGUAUUUCGUUCAAUAAUAUCUCCACUAAUAGGCCUUUAAAUUCUACUAAUAGAAUUGAAAAAGAGUGGUCAAUACCACUCGAUUCCAAAUUUCUAUCGCUCGUAUUUCAAAAGUUAGUAGAUCACCGUUUUCCACCGAUUUUCGUGUGACGAAAUCGAGCGAUCGAAAUUCAAAAAUCGGCUCCCUGUGGUUGACUGAAGUAGCAUGACAAAUACGAAUGUUUCCGAGAAAAUACGAUGGAAAACAACUAUGCAUACGCCUACGUCUGUAUGCCUGUAUAUAAAACCAUUAUUUGUGGAUCAUAAACUAGAUGUAAAAAGCAUUAUAAUGACAUGUGUAAUUGUGUAUAACUUGUUGUAUGUAACCCAGUGACGAAGUAUUGUUGUAUAAUGUGGAAUUUUAACGACAUGGUUAUAUUUAUGUGAAUUAUAUUUUGAGCAUUC